GACGAACGCUGGCGGCGUGCUUAACACAUGCAAGUCGAACGGAAAGGCCCUGCUUUUGUGGGGUGCUCGAGUGGCGAACGGGUGAGUAACACGUGAGUAACCUGCCCUUGACUUUGGGAUAACUUCAGGAAACUGGGGCUAAUACCGGAUAGGAGCUCCUGCUGCAUGGUGGGGGUUGGAAAGUUUCGGCGGUUGGGGAUGGACUCGCGGCUUAUCAGCUUGUUGGUGGGGUAGUGGCUUACCAAGGCUUUGACGGGUAGCCGGCCUGAGAGGGUGACCGGCCACAUUGGGACUGAGAUACGGCCCAGACUCCUACGGGAGGCAGAAGUGGGGAAUAUUGCAGAAUGGGCGGAAGCCUGAUGCAGCAACGCCGCGUGCGGGAUGACGGCCUUCGGGUUGUAAACCGCUUUCGCCUGUGACGAAGCGUGAGUGACGGUAAUGGGUAAAGAAGCACCGGCUAACUACGUG
rnacentral:rRNA from 1 species